GGGGGCGUACUGGUUUCGACUGAAAGUUAGAGACACAGACGGCAUGCCGAGGAAGUCUGGUUGGCCUCGUUAAAAUCUCUGGACAAACAAAAUAAACGCCAACGAUUACGAAGAUCUGGCUCUUGCUGCUUAAUUAAGCGGCUUCGUUUCUGUGCCAACGCCUGCUAGGCAUGGAGACGACGACAGCAGGCUGGCCCAUGAGGGGAGCGACCGCUCUUGUGGGUGAGAUCGACCGUGGACGACCGGGGAGAAGUUGCCCGCCCGCUGGCGACUUCUCUCUUAAAUUAAAAGCGAGGCUAAGCAUGUAGAAGUUUGUGACGAAGGCCUUCAGGACAGGGGUUCAACUCCCCUCGCCUCCACCA
rnacentral:tmRNA from 1 species